CCUACGGGAGGCAGCAGCCGCGGUAAUACAGAGGGUGCAAGCGUUAAUCGGAAUUACUGGGCGUAAAGCGCGCGUAGGUGGUUUGUUAAGUUGGAUGUGAAAUCCCCGGGCUCAACCUGGGAACUGCAUUCAAAACUGACUGACUAGAGUAUGGUAGAGGGUGGUGGAAUUUCCUGUGUAGCGGUGAAAUGCGUAGAUAUAGGAAGGAACACCAGUGGCGAAGGCGACCACCUGGACUAAUACUGACACUGAGGUGCGAAAGCGUGGGGAGCAAACAGGAUUAGAUACCCUUGUAGUC
rnacentral:rRNA from 1 species